rnacentral:rRNA from 1 species
UACGGGGGGGGCAAGCGUUGUUCGGAAUUACUGGGCGUAAAGGGCCUCGGUAGGCCGGCCAACUAAGUCGGAUGUGAAAUCCCCCAGGCUUAACCUGGGAACUGCAUCCGAUACUGGAUGGCUUGAAUCCGGGAGAGGGAUGCAGAAUUCCAGGUGUAGCGGUGAAAUGCGUAGAUAUCGUAAGGAAGACCAGUGGCGAAGGCGGGUCUCUGGACAGUUCCUGACGCUGAGGCACGAAGG